UACGGGGGGGGCAAGCGUUGUUCGGAAUUACUGGGCGUAAAGGGCUCGUAGGUGGCCAACUAAGUCAGACGUGAAAUCCCCAGGCUCAACUUGGGAACUGCGUCUGAUACUGGAUGGCUUGAAUUCGGGAGAGGGAUGCAGAAUUCCAGGUGUAGCGGUGAAAUGCGUAGAUAUCUGGAGGAAUACCGGUGGCGAAGGCAGCUCGCUGGGACGGUACUGACGCUGAGACGCGAAAGCGUGGGGAGCAAACAGG
rnacentral:rRNA from 1 species